rnacentral:rRNA from 1 species
CCUACGGGUGGCAGCAGUGGGGAAUAUUGCACAAUGGGGGAAACCCUGAUGCAGCGACGCCGCGUGAGUGAAGAAGUAUUUCGGUAUGUAAAGCUCUAUCAGCAGGGAAGAAACCCACCCUCCGGGGUGGCUGACGGUACCUGACUAAGAAGCCCCGGCUAACUACGUGCCAGCAGCCGCGGUAAUACGUAGGGGGCAAGCGUUAUCCGGAAUUACGGGGUGUAAAGGGUGCGUAGACGGCUGUGCAAGUCUGGAGUGAAAGGCGGGGGCCCAACACCAGGACUGCUUGGGAAACGGGAUGGAUGGAGUGCAGGAGAGGUAAGGGGAAUGCCUAGGGUAGCGGUGAAAGGAGGAGAUAUGAGGAGGAACAGCGGUGGCGAAGGAGGAAGACCGGA